rnacentral:rRNA from 1 species
CCUACGGGAGGCAGCAGUGGGGAAUAUUGGACAAUGGGCGCAAGCCUGAUCCAGCAAUGCCGCGUGAGUGAUGAAGGCCUUAGGGUCGUAAAGCUCUUUUACCAGGGAUGAUAAUGACAGUACCUGGAGAAUAAGCUCCGGCUAACUCCGUGCCAGCAGCCGCGGUAAUACGGAGGGAGCUAGCGUUGUUCGGAAUUACUGGGCGUAAAGCGUACGUAGGCGGUUAUUCAAGUCAGAGGUGAAAGCCCGGGGCUCAACCCCGGAACGGCCUUUGAAACUAGGUAGCUAGAAUCUUGGAGAGGUCAGUGGAAUUCCGAGUGUAGAGGUGAAAUUCGUAGAUAUUCGGAAGAACACCAGUGGUGAAGGCGACUGACUGGACAAGUAUUGACGCUGAGGUACGAAAGCGUGGGGAGCAAACAGGAUUAGAUACCCUGGUAGUCCACGCCGUAAACGAUGAUAACUAGCUGUCCGGGCACUUGGUGCCUGGGUGGCGCAGCUACGACAUUAAGUUAUCCGUCCGUCGGGUAGGUACGGUCGCGAGAAUUAAACUAACAAAGAAGUUAGACGGCGUGAGACGUGCCGAACGGACGACGACGAGGGAGGUAGG